GCAGUAGCUUCAAUUUUUAGUAUAUAUUUUCCACUGUUUUUAUAGGGGUUAGAUACACCUGGAGCAAUAGUAAAGUUGUCUUCAUGUGACGUAUAGGUUACGGGUUUGAACCAUGCUGGAAUCAGCUCAUGAUGCUUGCAUCAAAGUUGGCGGCGUCGGCCCUUCCCGGACCUAGUCAAUGCGGGUUGAUUAGAGCACUAGGUUACCCUUUUUAGUCUGUAGGGGCAAGUUAAUUUAUGUUAAUUCAUUUCCUCAAGUUUUUGGUUUCUCAUAUGUGUUGGAUGGAAAUAAAAAAACGUUAGUUCUUGUUCUCUCGUUCUUCUUCUUUUCACUUUUAACUAAAUUCAAGAAUGCAACCUUAUUAUAUAGUACUAAUAUAUACAAAAAGCAAGAAUUUUAUGAAUUUCAAACACAUGGAAAUUUGCUCAAAAUCAUAAAGAAAGCUAGUCAGUAUUCAUUCUACCCAUUGGCUCGUACAAGAAGAUAAAUACUCCCUCCGUUCCUUUUUAUAUGUUAUCUUUUUCUAUAAAUAGUUGGUUCAUAAUACUUGUCAUGUCAUAAAAUUAAUGCAUAAAUUACCAUAUUAUUCCUUUUUUACUCUUGUGAGUUAUUAGCCUUGAAAAUAUACAUUUGACCAACUUAGAAAAGCUAAGUAAUUGAUUCAUGUUCAUUGGUUAAAUUAAUCAAUCAAAAUAAAUUAAUUCAUAUUCAUUGAUUGAAAACUUGAGUUGCAAAAAAAUUAAAUAAGGGUAGAAGGGUAAAACUACAUCAUUUGUUAAUGCAAGUGCAAAGUAAAAAUGUGACAUAUAAAAAAGGAACGGAGGGAGUAUCAUAUAAUAUGCAAAAAUAUAACUUAAUUACCUGUAUUUUUUCUCAAACUUGGUGUAAUUUAUUAGACAAAGCUCUUGUUGAGGAGAAAUUGACAAGCCAGCAAUGCCUCUUUGUUUGUUGUAUUUUCAUCCGCUCAACUUAGUAGAAAAUGCACGAUCGCUCAAAAAAAUAUUUCACAGAAAUAAUUAUUACAAAUAAUUAACAUCUAGAAGGUUGUAGCAACAAAUAUACUCGGACAUUAAAAAAAAUAAUAUUUUUUUCUAAAAUGCAAUGAAACAAUUAACAUCUAGGUUUGAAGGUAGAAUUGUUCAAACUUCAAAUCCAUACAUGUUUGAAGUUUGUAACUUCAACCCCCAAUUUUUAACUCCAAUCACAUGUAUGAAUAUGUGCGCGUGUUUUUGUUGUUAGUUGUAUUUACCAAUUACUAUGCAUGUAUAUCAGGGCAAGAACAAUUGAUAUAUGUAUACCCUAUUUUUAUUAUACAUGUGAGGCUACAAUUAUUGAUUGAGUCCAAUUAAUGAAAUCAAAAGAACUUUUAAAUAAUUUUUUAUUUCUACCCUUAAUAUUAACUAACUGCAUAAAAUAGUAAUAAUCAAAUUUAAUAACGGUCAUAAAAAUAAUAUUAAAAUUUUGUGACAAAUUCAUAAAAAUAUUAUUCUGUUUAUAAUAUUAAUGAACUUAAAGAAAAAAAUUAUAAAUACUUAGGUUAAAAAAUAAAUUAUAUAUUAUAUAAAGAGGUCUUACAUAUAUGUGAUAUAAACAAGGGUAAAAUGAAUAAUGCAUAGAAUAAAGGGGGAGUUUGAUGAUUGUUCAAAGUUGAGGGAAAGUUUGAUUUUUAAAGCAAAGUUGGAAGGUGAAUAUGUUUAUUUUUCAAAUACUCACUGUUUUCAUGGUCAAACACUCACAGGCAAAAAUGUGUGUGUGGUGAAGUGGUGAUGGUGGGAUCAAAUGAAAAAUUGUGAAUACCGCGUUAUAUAAACGAACCAGCGUAAGGAAAUUGUUUUGAACAAAAUGAGUAUUAACAUUUCGCGACACAGCUGAGGCCUGAGAGUGAAAACUAAUUAAACACUUGAUCAGCAUAAUUGCCUAGGAGAAAUUUCUAGGAAGCUGCAAUCACCCACUUGUUUAGAAAGUAGAAAUGAGGAGUAAUACAAACCUUAAACAAAAAAGUGCCAAUAGUUUGAGUUGAAUACUACAAUUGAAUUUAACAAGCAUUUCACUUACUCAAAAAAUUAGCAAAGAUUCAAUCGUUAAUCAUAGAGUAACGUCGAGAGAUUCAGAUUAUAGUAUAAUAAAAACAAUAUUAAUGGUUUCUGAUUCAAGUUUUAACAUUUGAAAUUUGUAACUUCCAAAUAUACAAGUUGAUGUCUGUUAUACUUUUUAACUAUAUUGUCGUCUUGAUGUUUGAAGGACUAGAAUAUUAAUUUAAAUUGACUUCAUUUAUUAAGGCAUAUACUGAGGCAUGACGUUGUUGGAAUAGUAGAGUGCUUGGAAGUGUCCUUUCCGAUAUUUUGACGUCACUUUUGUUAGAUCCUUUUCAAUCAUAUAUCUCUAUCUGAUUCUGUCUUAAGUAUCAUGGCCAUACUAAUCACAACAAAGUUCAUUCUUAUUUUAUACUAGAUCCAGAAAAAGAAGUAGUGUGCAUGUAAUACUGAUCGGAGGUCAGAUAAGUAUAGUAUACAGUUAGCUAGGAUGAUGGAGGUGGAUCAUGGAUCAGACAUUGAAGCUCAGGGGAGUUCCCCGCUGUUGAUGAAUGGUGAAUUGGGUAAUUCUAGUUUGAUCAUGAGGAGGUCGCCACUCAUUUUUCCAUCUAUUUACAAGUUCAUCGAAGCUGGAGCAAGCAUACCAUCUCUUUCACGAGUGUCAUCGUCGUCUUCAUCAUCAAACACAACCUUUUAUACUCCCCAUGCCAGCUUUAAUCUUAAACAUGGAGUAUGUAUAUAAACAAAAACACCUGCACACACACACACACACACACACACAUAUAUAUAUAUAUAUAUAUAUUAGCUAUAUUGAUGAUAUUAAUUUUAUAUAUGUUCUGUCUAAUCAGAACUCUGAAGGUGGUGGAGAUGAAAUUCAGAUUGUUGAAAUUGUGGCAGCUAUACCCGAUGUUUAUACUGUACAAUCAAACAAUGAGAUUGAACUUCAGCCUCAUGAUCAGAGUACUCAUCAGCAAUGCUUAAAAAUUAGUGAAGAGACUGUGAAGGAGAAGAAGUUGGAUUGGAGGUAUUCCCAAUUCAUGAUCCGACAAUUGGUAGGUAAGGAACCAACUAUUUUUCUCCUUGCAAUUGCUGCAAUAUUGUCGUUUGUUUUUGGAAUCAAAGAAGAAGGUGUGCAGAAUGGUUGGUUUGAAGGAGCACUCUUGGUUGUGAUAAUAUUUGUGAUUGUUUCGUUUAAGUUUGCACGAAAUUGGUACAAAAGACGCAUUUGGAAUAAGCAAAAAGAGAACAGAGCAAGGAAGAACCAGCAGUUGGUUUCUGAAACGGACUCCAGUUUCUGUGCCGACUUUGACAAGUUGAACAAUUACAUACAUAUUAGUGGGUUGUUGAUUGGCAUUUUGAUCACUGUGGUGCUGUUCAUUCGCUUUAAAUUGGGCAAUAAAGAUGAUGAGAACGGAUAUAGAUUGGAAACCAAGGAAGAACCUACUGAAAUUGCACGGAUAAUGAAUGCCGUGAAGAAGAUUUUAACAGAAUCAAAGGGAACAGUAAGAGUUAUGAUAACUUCUCUUGGUGUCACACUGGUAGGGAUGACUGAAGGAGUACCAUUUCUUAUUUCAGUUGCAAUGGCAUAUUGGUAUCCGAAUUUUGAUGUCAACAUGGAAUCAAUCAGCACCCUCUGUAUAGGAAAUGUUGGCUGGUUGAAAGAGCCAAAAUUGAAAGUUACCCAGUUUUUCCUUGACAAAAAAGAUAUUACCAAGAUACCGCCACAUGUCUGCAGUGUUCUCUCUGAUGGAAUUGGCCGUGUGUCCACUCGGACUUCUCAAACAGCCUACCACAGAGUAAAAGAAGCAAUACUCUGUUGGGCAGAGAAGAACACGGGUAUGCAGAGAGACACUUUGGAUAAGCAGUUUACCAUAGUGAAGGACAACGAUGAUGAGAUGAAUCCUUUUGAAGGACCUUGUGAAGUCGUCAUAGAGAAAGAUGGAGGUAAUGGGAAAGAGUACUAUUCAUAUUUGAAGGGCCCUGCUGAUUCAAUAUUGUCAAUGUGUUCAAGUUACUAUGACAUGAACGGUGAAGUGCAGGAUUUGGAUGACGGAACAAAGAGUAACAUUGCUCAAACUAACAACAACAACAUGAGCGUAGUUGCAUUUGCCUUCAAACACACUCAAGACGUUGUUGAACUUGAUGAAAAUGGCCUAACAUUCAUUGGUAUGUUUGUCUUAGAAGAUACUUUCAAUCUAGACAACAUGAGGCAAGGAAUUGCGAUUCUGAAAGAAGGUGGAGUGAAGAUGAUAUUUGCCUCGGACGAAGAUGUUGAAGUGCUUAGAACCAUUGGUGAUGAAACAGGAUUGCUCAACUCACAUGAUGCUCUAGUAGUUAGGGGAGAAGAGGCUACAAAGGAAAAUGUUCAUAAAAUUUGCAUUAUGGGAAAUUCAUCUCCUGCACACAAGCGUCUUUUAAUAGAGCAGUUGAAGAAAAGAGGAGAAGUGGUGGCUGUGGUAGGAGAACAAGCAUCUGAAAGUAAUGUGGUUCUUGAAGCAGCUCAUUUUGGCCUGCCUGUGGUGACUAACUGGCCUGAAACUAUAAUUUAUGUGAUUAACAGCAUCAAGGGAGGAAGAAUUGUUUGUGAGAAUAUGAGGCAGUUCAUCCAAGUUGAGAUAAUCUUGGCAAUCAGUAGCUUAUUAAUAAACUUCAUACUGGUUAUAUUAGACGGAGAUGGCCCGUUAACAGUCAUACAGUUGGUAUGGGUAAACCUUCUUGUAACAUUUAUUGGAGGGCCAGCUUUGCUAAUUACUCAACAGGCCACAAGACAACAAAGGGAUGAGCUUUCUAUCAUACCAAGAAAACCACCUAUUACCAAGGUUAUGUGGAGAAACAUUCUUUUUCAAGCUUCUUAUCAGACUGGCAUUUUUGUAUUCCUUCAACAAAGAGGAAGUGCGAUACUGGGCAUCACUCCAAAAGUUAACAGAUCUAUAGUCCUUAACGGGUUCGCUCUGUGCCAGCUUUUUAACAUAUUCAGUGCAAGGGAUUUGGAGCAGAAGAAUUUUUUCAAAGGUCUUGGUCAAAAUUACUUGUUUUGGGCUUUGUCUGUGAUCUAUCUUGUGUUGCAGCUUGGAUUCAUUGAAGUAGAGGCUGUCUUUGUCUUUACCAACACGGCACGACUGAAUUGGAAGCAAUGGGUUGAAUCCAUUUUAAUUGGAGUUGUUACAUGGUUGCUUGAUGUGAUAGUAAAAUGGGCAUCACAAUACAUAAACAAAUAUUGUGACUGGAGUUCUUCACCCAGUCAGAAACUGGUUCCAGAAUUGGUUUGCCAGAAUCAACUGUUGUGACAGUGGACCAAGAAGUGCACCAAAUUCUACCCUUGCUUCCUUGGAUUCUCCAAGAUCCACUAGUGGAAAGGUACUACACAAAUCUAUCCAUACUGCCUAAUUACACUAAGUUCAAACAGAAGUCUUUUCUUUCUAAAAUUUUGGAUUCAAGUUGUAAUUGUUAUUCUUUUGUAGGGCUGGAUAACAAAUAUCACACGUGUGUGAAACCAACCAAACAUAGAGCUAAUACUUUGAUGGAUCAAUCAUAUGUUGCAGUAGCUUCGAUUUUUAGUACAUAUUUUCCACUGGUUUCUAUAGGGUUAGAUACACCUAGAACAACAGUAAAAUUGUAUCCAUGUGACCUAUAAGUUAAGGGUUCGAGCCAUUCUGGAAUCAGCCCCUGAUGCUUUGCAUCAAGGUAGGCUGCAUAUGUCACACCCUAAAAGGGCGUCGGCCCUUCCCGGACCCAGUAAAUGCAGGAUAAUUAGGUCACUAGGUUGCCCUUUUUAGUCUAUAGGGGCUAGUUAAUUUAUGUUAACUCAUUUGUCAAGUUUUUCGGUGUCUCAUUUGUAUUGGAUGGAUAAAAAAAAAAUGUAUGUUCUUGUUCUCGUUCUUCUUAUUUAAAUAUAUACAAAAAAAAACAAGAAUUUUAUGAAUUUCAAACACAUGAAAAUUUGCUCAAAAUCAUAAAGGAAGCUAGUCAGUACACAUUCUACUUAUUGGCUCGUAUAAGAAGAUAAAUAUCACAUAAUAUGCAAAAACAAAUAUAACUUAAUUACCUCGAUCUAUUUUUUGUCAUACUUGGUGUAAUGUAAAAGACAAAGCUCUUGUUGAGGAGAAAUUGGCAAACCAGCACUGCCAUUGGAAGAGACUUUUCUUUAGCAAAGUCAACUUCCAGUGGUCGUUUCCU
rnacentral:lncRNA from 1 species